CGCGUAGGCGGCUUGGUAAGCCGGAUGUGAAACCCCCGAGCUCAACUCGGGGCGGCCAUUCGGAACUGCCAUGGCUAGAGUCUGGUAGGGGAACACGGAAUUCCUGGUGUAGCGGUGAAAUGCUUAGAUAUCAGGAGGAACACCAGUGGCGAAGGCGGUGUUCUGGGCCAGUACUGACGCUGAGGCGCGAAAGCGUGGGGAGCGAACA
rnacentral:rRNA from 1 species